AACUUUUUUCGCGGCGGAGCUCGACCGCCGACAGAAGUGAUCAUCAGCUACAUCGAUCAGCACAAGGCGGAAUACGGCGUCGGGACGAUCUGCCGGGUGCUCACCGAGCACGGCUGCAAGAUCGCGUCG
rfam:Nakamurella panacisegetis strain P4-7,KCTC 19426,CECT 7604 genome assembly, chromosome: I